AUGGAUAGUAUCGACAAGGUGCACAAGUGGAGGGCUGCAUUGACAGAAGCAGCCAGUCUAUCUGGGUUUGAUGAUUCAGAAAAAAAAGAGGGCCUGGUAGGAAUUGAAAGGAAAAUUGAGAAAAUUGAGUCGUUAUUGUGCUUGGAUUCACCAUGUGUUCGCUGUGUAGGUAUUUGGGGAAUGGGUGGUAUUGGCAAGACCACCCUUGCGGAUGCUAUAUUUCUAAGGUUGUCCUAUAAAUUUGAAGCUCAUUGUUUUCUUGCAAAUGUUAGGGAGAAAUCAGAACAAAUGGAUGGACUGAAUCAGUUGCGAAAUAAACUUCUUGGUGAGAUAUUAAAGGAAAAGGAUCUAAACAUCGACACUCCUUCUAUACCACCCAUUACUCGAUAUAGGCUCAGCAGCACAAAGGCGCUCAUUGUUCUUGAUAUGUGAAUGCUCCAAGCCAACUAGAAUUUCUUGUUGGUCAUCAUGAUCAGUUUUGCCAAGGAAGUCGAAUCAUUAUAACUGCUAGAGAUAAAGGCCUACUUGAGCAAAAAGUUGACCAUGAUAAGAUAUACAAGGUUGAGGGAUUAAGUUCCGAAGAAGCUCUUCAGCUCUUUCAUUCGCAUGCUUUCAGAAGUAAGUCUCUAACAGCAGAUUACACUGAAUUGUCAAGAAAGGUGGUAGAUUAUAUUGAAGGCAUUCCAUUAGCUCUUAAAGUUAUGGGGUCCUUAUUCCUUGGUUGUAAGAGCAAACAAGAGUGGGAAGAUCAACUGAAUAAAUUGAAACGAUUUCCAAGCGAAGAAAUCAAGAAAGCGUUGAGAGUAAGUUACGAUGGAUUAGAAGAAAAUGAGAAGGAGAUAUUUCUUGAUAUAGCAUGUUUUCAUAAAGGCUAUAGCAGGAAUUAUGUAAAAGAGUCAUUAGAUGGACGUGGUUUUUGUGGGGAAGUCGGAAUCAAAGUUCUCAUUGAUAGGUCUCUCAUAUCAAUUUCAAAAGGACGGAUAGAGAUGCAUGAUUUGGUGCAAGAAAUGGGUAGGGCAAUUGUUUGCGAACAACGUAUUGAAGAACGCAAUAGGUUGUUCACAGCAAGGGAUGUCUAUCAAGUAUUGAAUAACCAGAGAGCUGCAACUGUUCAAGCCAUAUCCUUUGACUGGUCUGAGAUUGAAAAGCUAAACUUGAAUGAUGCAGACUUCAAAAGGAUGUAUCAACUGAGAUGGCUACGUGUUGGUUAUUCUUGGUUUCUUGAGCACCACACAUUAAUUGGUUCUCUUGAUCUUCCCAAUUAUCUUAGUUAUCUUAACUGGGAGAGAUAUCCUUUGCAAUCCCUGCCAUCCAAAUUUUCUCCUGUAAAUCUUGUUGAGCUUCGUCUGCCGUACAGCCAAGUUACUGGGUCGCAACUUUGGAAUGAAGAGCAGAAGCUUAUCAACUUGAAAGUGAUCAGUCUUCGUUUCUGCGAAUAUCUAACUGAAGUUCCAAAUCUCUCUCGGAGUCUGAAAAUUGUACAUAUAGAUCUUCGUGGUUGUGUAAGUUUGAUUGAAAUUCCUUCGUAUUUUCAAACACUUGACAAGCUUACUUAUCUUGAACUUGGGGGCUGCACAAAUCUCAAAAAUCUUCCUGAGAUUCCAUGUAAUGUUGAAUUCUUAGAUUUAUCUAAGACAGCAAUAAAGGAAUUGCCAUCAACAGUUUGGUCUCACAAAAAAAUUACUUACUUUGAUAUUACAAAUUGUAAAUUCCUUGAGAGACUUCCAAGCCGCAGUUGUAAGCUGAAUGUCUCGGGUACUUUUAGUCUAGAGGGUUGCGUAUCUCUUUGCGAGUUUUUGGAGCUUCCCAGGAAUACAACAGUGCUAGAUUUGAGGGGCACAACAAUAAAAGAAUUGCCCUCAUCAAUUGAGUUUGUCUCUAGUCUCACUAUAAUUAAACUGGAAGCUUGCAAAAGCCUUGUGAGUCUCCCAACGAACAUUUGGAGGUUGAAAUCCCUCGUGAGCCUUGAUCUCAGUCGCUGCUCUAAAUUUCAAUACUUCCCAGAAGUCUCGGAGCCCGUGGAACAUCUGGAGUCUCUAAAUUUAUCAGGUACAGCGGUUAAAGAGCUACCCCCAUCAAUUGGAAAUCUAGUUGCCCUUCGAAAAUUAGACCUCCACGUAUGCAAGAACCUUGAGGUUGUCCCAAACAGCAUCUACAAUUUGAGCAACCUUAAAACUCUCAGGUUUGAUGGAUGUUCAGAACUGAAGAAAUUGCCUCCUGUCUCAGUAGACUUAGUCGGUUUACUCUCUUUGGAAGCACUAAACCUUAGUUAUUGCAGUAUACAAGAAAUCCCUGAUGGUCUCGUUUGCUUAACCUCAUUACAAGAGUUAAAUCUGAACAAGGCCAAAAUUAAGAGCAUACCUGGAAGCAUCAAACAAGCAGCUGAGUUGUCUUACCUGUGCCUAAGCGAUUGCAAGAACCUUGAAUUACCAAAGCUCCCCCCAUUGCUACAACGUCUUGAAGCAGGUGGUUGCACGUCACUGAAGACAGUGUCAAGUUCAAGCACUGCACUCACACAAUGUUGGGAUGAACAUAUAUUUUCUCGAAGGCUUCAUGAGAAACAUAUAUUUUCUAGUUGCCCAAAUUUGGAUCAGAAUGCACGAAUCAACAUAAUGGCUGAUGCAGUACAGCUCAGAAUUAUGCGAAUGGCAACUGCAUCAUCAAAGUUUAAAGAAGAAAAAAUUGAACGAGCAUCAUAUGAUUCAGAUGAUGAAUUUUUUAUGCAUGAUGUGAUUCAGGAAAGUUUUUGUGGGAGAUGUUUAGUUGCCCUUAAAUGUCCGGGGUAUGACAUUCCAAAUUGGUUCAGCCAUCAAAGUGAGGGAUCUUCAAUAAAUAUUCAGCUUACUCCUGAUUGGUUUAGCACAGAUUUCUUGGGUUUCGCUCUAUCUCUUGUUGUUGCAUAUGCUCCAUUGUAUAUGAAGAUUAGAUGGAAGUACAGCUUCAAAGCUAGUAACGGGGAAAGCCAUGAAAUCAAAAAUAGUUUGUAUAAUCCGUAUCUGUUUGGAAGCAGUUUCCAAGAUUCUCAUGAGGUGUUUGUAUGGUGGUAUAAUGUCUUUGAAGUUGUAGAGGCAGCUCAAAUCCCCACUGCAUUUUACAAACUUGUUACUGAGGUCUAUGUUGACUUCAGCAUAGACAAAUAUUCCGCCUACAGACCCAUUCCGGAGAAGUGUGGGGUCUGUCUGUUGUAUGGCGAAGAUGCUGAGAUCAUAAAGCAGAGGGCUUUGUAG